rnacentral:tRNA from 1 species
AGCUCUUUGACUUGAGGCGAAAGAAACUAGCAUUUACUCCAUCAAUAGUUGUGCAUGGAACUUAAUGGCAUCAUCCCAUUUAAUCUUCACACCUGGCCUGGGAAUUCUCAGGCCACAGAACUGGACCCCCACGGCUGUUCCUCUGCCUUGGUACCCAGUCUGCUCAAAGCCUGGCUGGGAGCAAGGGAUGUCACCUUGAAGCCCAGGAGCACGACCCCCAAGUUUAAGGGCCUUUUUGGAACCAAAAUAUCAAGAUCGAGUCCUGCCAGCUACUCUAAGAGGCACAGUUUGGGCUUCAAGAUUUCAUUCUUGAGGUAGAGAACUCUCAGAUUCUUAGAGAAGGACAAGAGGAGGCUGCCCCAAGCUCUAGUUGUCCUCAAGCCAGUCUGGGGUCAAGGCCCUGCCCUUUCUGCAGCCUGGAGCGUGUCAAGGAAGCAGAUGACACCUCAGAGCAGGCACAUACCAAGCUACUGGAGCAGGACCCCAAAGGCAAUGACACCAAAACUCACUCGCAUAUGCAUCUCCUUUUGCUAUUGAUUUUUUUAAAUAUUCAAAAGUAAAGGUGAUUCCAUCUACUUGUCGCUUCACGAAGGAUCUCCCCUACCCCUGCCCUGGCCUCUCUUCCAAUUCGCUAAUGCGACAGAAACCACAAGAAGAACAAAGAAACCGCAGCCUGGUGUGAAUUGUGGAACACUUUAUUGAACACAAAUGAACAGAAGUCACAUUUCCUCAGUGGUCAGUGCUAGGUGCCAGCAAGGAAGUAAAAGGAAUUUCAGAGGAAAUGUUGGGGACAGAGGUAGAAGUUCAAAGGGAAAUAAUUUAGAGAACAAAAUCAAUGACAGCCUCAUCGGAAAUGCUUCUGAUGGUUGAGAGAAAUGAGGGUCCCAGUGAUGGGGAAGCAGAGAAAGGGUCGAGAACCCCCAGGAGGGAGCGUUUGCCCAGAAAGCUCUCCACUGCCCAGCCCACGGUGUCCUGGGGCGAGCUGGAAGGAAAGACAGCAGGACUCAGGAGGGCCCGAGCUUUGGAGUUAGAGCUGAACUCUUGAGAUAACCAGUCAACCAUAUGCCACUGGCUAAUCGUGGUGCUUUGUGCUACUGAGCUGGCCCAGAUCUUGAUUCCCUCAUCCUCAAGAUGGGACCAAUAAUGCCCAGCUCCUGGGGUUGUUAGGAGGAUGACUGAAAUAAUAAAUAUGAACAAAUCUGACCACCACAUAGUAGACCCACACAAAUUGCAGUUCCCGGUCCAAGCACCAGAAAUAACUUCUUCCUAUUUAUGACUUUGCCUGGGGCCAGCUGCUUCUAAAUGCUCCCUAGAGGAAUCAGGGACCUGAUCCAGCUCUCCUCCCCACUAGGGAGGCAUCUUCCCUGAGAAUUGCUGCCGGAGUCAAAUGUUGAUGCACAGCUGCCUCUCCUGGACAGGGCUGGAGCUGCACAGCCAAUCUGGGGUGGACUGCAGCUGUGCCAACCUGGGGCCUUGUCUGUGUGAUGAGGUCCAGAGCCAGAAGCUGUCACCUUCUCCACAUUUUCCAAAUGCCUCCCCACCUGUAGACACCUUAGGAGUCCUGAGGGCCAGCCCAGCUAGUAGAUGAGUCUGUGGCUUUCCAGAUUUUUGGAGAUGAGGACAAGCCACUCCAAUUCAUCCACAGUACCUGGUCCCCAAGGCAACCAAAAUUACCCAAGCUAUUUAUAAACCAUUCUUAAUCCUUGAGCUUGAAAAAAAUCAAAAGCCAAGAGCAUUUGGGUCCCACUUUUAAAAAUGGCAAGGAAAACAAUGAUUAAACUAAAACCUGAUCAAAAAAAUAAAAAAAUAAAAAAUAAAACCUGAUCAAAGGCUAGAUAUCCCCUUCCCCAAUUACUAUUUUCCCUAAUCCUCCUCCCCAACACAUGAAAACACACACACACAUGCAUAUACACGAAUACAUAUACAUGUGCACAAACAUACACUCUUACAUGAAUAUCUAUACAUGCAUAGGGCAGAGUCCCUUAAAGAAAAUCUUGAUACUGUCCAACACAUUCUAGUUUAUUCUAUAAAGCAGCGGCAACAAAUAUAUGAGAAGUUGAUGAAGGUUUGCAUACAUAGAACGACAUUUUAAUGACUGUGCCUCACCACAACCUACCACCUCUGAUGACAAUGUAUUCUUCAGUUAUGAAAGCACUAAUCAGAAAUAAAGUUAGAUUCCUUCUUUGCACUAUAGAUAAAAAUAAAAUGCAGGUAUGUUAAAGAUACACAUAGAGGCGCCUGGGUGGCUCAGUUGGUUGAGCAUCUGACUCCUGAUCACAGCUAGGAUCUUGAUCUCAGGGUCAUGGGUUCAAGCCCCAUGCUGGGCUCCAUGCUGGGGAUGGAGCCUACUUAAAUAAUAGUGCAAAAUAUGUUUAUAUUUUUAAAAGAUACUUAUAUAAGUAACUAUAACAAAUUUGAAAAACUCAGAACAUUUGAAUAGGCUUGGAAAUGGGAAAAAUUAAGCAAAAGGAAAAAACACGUAAGCCAUAAAAAGGGAGAGUUUUGAUCAUAUAUAAAAAUGAAAAACUUCAUAGAACAAAAAGAUACCAUAAUCAAAAUGAUAAAUAUAUGAUAAUGUAAGCAAGGAUUAUAACAAAAUGAUAGAUUGAGAGAAAACAUUUUCAAUAUGUAUAACGUACAAAAGAACUCUCCCAAAUUAACAAGACAAGUAACACAAUAGGAAAAUAACAACAUAGACCAACAAAUUACAGCAGAGUAACCAAAAUGAAUAAAAGUUGCACAAAAUUAAAAAAAAAAAGCACCAUCUCAAACAGUAGAUGGGGAAAUUAAAGUUAACACAACAGUAACCUAACCAUUUUUUUAAUCCAUUGAAUAUUUAGAAGAUCGGUCAUAUCCAGUGGCAAUGUAGGAGAGCUGGUUCUGUUGCAUAUUGUUAGAGGGACUGUAAAUAACUACAACCUUUUAUAAAAGUCAUCUAAUAGUCUUCAUUUCAAUUUAAAAUGUGCAUUUACUCUGAUCCAAGAAUACCAUUUCUGGGGAAUUUCCAGGUUACUUAAAAUAUCCGUGGAUAAAGCUAGUUGGCUGUGAUGUUUGUUACAGCACUUUUUUGCUAAUAAAAACUGAAACAACCUAAAUAUCAUUCAAAAGAUGACUCUAAACAAAUUAUGCAGCACCUGAGCCAUGACACAUUGAACCUCUGAUAUCCACUGCACGCUUCACAUGUGUAGCUCAGAGCAAGCCUGUGCUUCCAUGUCCUCCUCUGGAAAAUGAAGUUGACAAUGGUACUUCCAUCCCAUAUUAAUCGUUGGAAGGACUUUUAUUAUGUAUUGCUAAGUAUAAAUUUUUUUAAAAACAAUUUGCGGAAUUAAAAGCAUUUUUAAAUGUGUAUAUGCCUCUAUUUAUUUGAUGUGUUUAUAUCCACAAGGGCAAAAAGUGAAGGAGUUCUACAUUAAAUUGUGACACAUCUACUGCUUUUGUUCAUGGGUCAUUACAAAGAAUAAAAAGCCCUAAUAGGAAAAGAUGUGACUGGAAACAUUAACAGACUACUCAUUGAAACAAAAAUGCAAAUGGUUAAUAACCAUUGGGAGAAAAAUGCAGCCUUAAAAAAAAAAUCUUAAUUCAAAGCCCACUUUUCAAUGCCCUGUGCCACUCACAUUGGCCAAGCUGAGGGCAUGCAUCACCUACGCUGUGAAGCAAGAGUGUGUGUUCCUGUAUAGGUGCACAUGGGGUGGUGAGGGGAGGCAGGGAGGGGAGGAUGUGUGUGGAAAGGACCCUAGUCUCUAAGGGAUUCGACUAGAGAUGGACCUGAAUUCUAAUCCCAACCCUUUCACUCAUAUAUAGAAUUAGAUUAGUCUCUUACUCUUUCUGAACCAAUCUCUUCACUUGAGAAAUGAGUGAGCGAAGGGAUUCAGUGAGGUUAUUUUCAUACCAGGCUGGGCACAGGGAGUGCCUGCCCCCCCCCCCCACCCUGCCCUAGGCCCACCCUAUGGUGCUGAGUCCUCCCCCACUUCCUCCUCCUUCCUACCCUUUCCCAAGCACCCAGCAGAGCAGCCUCAGGUCCCCUGCAUGAAGAAGAGGCCCUGGCCUUUGCUUCACUGUAUCCCAGUGUAGCCUGCCUGCCUGUGCCUUGCUAUUUAACCAUGAUGUUAAUUCCUUUUGCAUUUAUGUGAUUUGGAUUCUUGCAAAACAAAAGGCAUGAUUUUAGUUAAACACAUACACACACAUACACACACGAGCACACAGACAAAAUAAAAACAGGAAUGCUGUAGCCCUUUACUUGAUACAAAUCUUUCUAGAUAAGAAUCCAGCUGUCACACUGGAGGCUCUACAAGACAGGGGUUCCGUCAGCCACAGAGAGCAAGCGCAACACCCCCCGCCCCCCAAAACGGAAACUGGGAGAGAAGAUGAAUGGUAACAAUUUCACAUUAUUGACAAAAUGCAUCUCAAAUCAUUGACCCUUUAAGAUACCUCGGAGGGGCAGCGGAAGGCAAAGUAAUCCACCUCUUGGCCAAGGGGCUGGGCUCCCGACAAACCGUGGAAAAACUAGCAGCCAAAUAACCUGCUCCUCUGGCUGUUGAGUGUUCUGGUGGUUCCAACAAGUCCGGUGGGAAUUCCCUUCGAACUUUCCAGGCUCCAAAGCCCCCACGCUUACUAUGUGUAUAGAUAUAUAAAGAGCCCCACUGUGCGCUGUUGGUCCGCGAGCUAGUCCAGGUCUCUAAAGCGGGGGGCCCCGGCCGGUGGGCAUCCGGGGGGGCCGGGCUCAGGCGCUCUGGGGCCGAGGCUCCCUCCCGCCGUUGAGGAGGUCCGUGAGCUCCCCGAUGUACUUGAUCGUGUACUUCAGGGUCUGGAUCUUGGUGAGCGGCUGGCCCCUCUGGCUGUAGACGGGCGGCAGGUAGUUGCGGAGGGUGUGCAGCGCAUCGGCCAAGGUCCUCAUCCGGAGCUUCUCCCUCUCGCUGGCCUUGCGUCUCCGCUGCACCGACAUCCUGACCUUGGCGCCCUUCUGGGCCUUGGGGCCAGCAGCGCCCUGCAGGUAGGCGGGCGGGAAGGCCAGCAUCUCGUAGGCCACCUGCACCCCGCCGCCCCCGCCCCCCCGCCCCCCGCGCUCGGGGCGCCUCCCAGCCCACGCGGCAGCCCCGGGGCAGCGGGCGGGGGGGAAGAGGAAUAGGACUCGAGCGACGGGGCCGGAGACAGGCUCUGGGGUGGGGAGGCCUGGCUCAGCUCGAAGGGCCCCCCUCUGUGGUCCCAGUCCCAGGAGGACAGCAGGCCCGGGCUGGCGGAGGGGCCCAGGCCCUCUUCGAGGCCG